AGUGAACGCUGGCGGUAGGCCUAACACAUGCAAGUCGAACGGCAGCACAGUAAGAGCUUGCUCUUACGGGUGGCGAGUGGCGGACGGGUGAGGAAUACAUCGGAAUCUACUUUUUCGUGGGGGAUAACGUAGGGAAACUUACGCUAAUACCGCAUACGACCUACGGGUGAAAGCAGGGGAUCUUCGGACCUUUCGCGAUUGAAUGAGCCGAUGUCGGAUUAGCUAGUUGGCGGGGUAAAGGCCCACCAAGGCGACGAUCCGUAGCUGGUCUGAGAGGAUGAUCAGCCACACUGUAACGGAGACACGGUCCAGACCCCUACGGGAGGCAGCAGUGGGGAAUAUGGGACAAUGGGCGCAAGCCUGAUCCAGCCAUACCGCGUGGGUGAAGAAGGCCUUCGGGUUGUAAAGCCCUUUUGUUGGGAAAGAAAAGCAGCAGGUUAAUACCCCGCUGUUCUGACGGUACCCAAAGAAUAAGCACCGGCUAACUUCGU
rnacentral:rRNA from 1 species